CCCCCCGGCCCGGGAUAGCCCAGGGAAACCUGGAUUAAUACCGGAUGAGACGGGACCCGCGAAGGCGGGACCCGGGAAAGGCGCUGCGGCGCCGCCGGGGGGAUGAGUCUGCGUCCCAUUAGCUAGACGCGGGGUAACGGCCCACCGUGGCGACGAUGGGUAGCCGGCCUGAGAGGGUGGACGGCCACAUUGGAACUGAGACACGGUCCAGACUCCUACGGGAGGCAGCAGCUAAGAAUCUUCCGCAAUGGGCGAAAGCCUGACGGAGCGAACCGCCGCGUGAACGAAGAAGGCCGUGAGGUUGUAAAGUUCUUUUCGGGAGGGGGAACAACCGUGGCAGGGAAUGGCCGCGGGAUGACGUGAAUCCCGGAAUAAGCCCCGGCUAACUACGUGCCAGCCGCCGC
rnacentral:rRNA from 1 species